rnacentral:rRNA from 1 species
UACGUAGGUGGCGAGCGUUAUCCGGAUUCACUGGGUGUAAAGGGUGUGUAGGCGGGGAGGCAAGUCAGAUGUGAAAACUACGGGCUCAACCCGUAACUUGCGUCUGAAACUGUUUCUCUUGAGAGUGGGAGAGGUAGAUGGAAUUCCUGGUGUAGCGGUGAAAUGCGUAGAUAUCAGGAGGAACACCGGUGGCGAAGGCGAUCUACUGGACCAUUACUGACGCUGAGACACGAAAGCGUGGGGAGCAAAC